UACGUAGGGGGCAAGCGUUGUUCGGAUUUACUGGGCGUAAAGGGCGCGUAGGCGGCCAGCGCAAGUCAGUUGUGAAAUCUCCGGGCUUAACUCGGAAAGGUCAACUGAUACUGCGCGGCUAGAGUGCAGAAGGGGCAACUGGAAUUCUCGGUGUAGCGGUGAAAUGCGUAGAUAUCGAGAGGAACACCUGCGGCGAAGGCGGGUUGCUGGGCUGACACUGACGCUGAUGCGCGAAAGCCAGGGGAGCGAACGGG
rnacentral:rRNA from 1 species